ensembl:lncRNA
CGAUUUAAAUAUUAACCGUCAAUCAGUCUUUCAUCCGCCUUCGCCGUUUUUCAUUCGUUUUACACGCUUAACUGUCGGGAAGUAAACGCGUACAUGGAAAGUGAUUCUUUACCAUGUUCUUUACACAGAGAACAUUCGAAAGACACGACAAUAUCCGCUUGUGUUUGGAAACUGCGACGCUACGGUCGAUUUCUCCCCGAAGGUAACGUUAGUAACAUUAUCUGCGCGUGGAAGAUUUUCGAGUCCAGUGAAAGCGCCGGCCAGCUGGAGCUGAAUAUUCUGGGCUCUGGUCAUCUGCUGGGAUCUCAAGGCCAUGGACUCAUGGAGGGCUUUUAUCUGCACAGUGCGCAGAGCUUCCUGAAAAUCCAGCACAAAUAUGACAGUCUGCUGUUCAACAUUAAAAUGAAGGGUUAA